UACAGAGGAGCCAAGCGUUGUCCGGAUUUACUGGGCGUAAAGAGCUCGUAGGCGGUGUGUCGCGUCGGCCGUGAAAACCUGCAGCUUAACUGUGGGCUUGCGGUCGAUACGGGCAUCACUGGAGUUCGGCAGGGGAGACUGGAAUUCCUGGUGUAGCGGUGAAAUGCGCAGAUAUCAGGAGGAACACCGGUGGCGAAGGCGGGUCUCUGGGCCGAUACUGACGCUGAGGAGCGAAAGCGUGGGGAGCGAACAGG
rnacentral:rRNA from 1 species